GCUCACUUUGGCAGCACAUAUAUUAAUUGGAACAAUAAAAGAUUAGCAUGGCCCCUGCACAAGGAUGACAUGCAAGUUUUUGAAGCAUUCCAUAUUUUU
rnacentral:snRNA from 2 species